rnacentral:lncRNA from 1 species
GGGUGAUGUUUUCUUGCAAAACCAAAAUCGGCUCCAUUCUUCCUCCUCGAGAGUCUAGCCACGGGCAAGACCCGCACAACAAAAAUACAGGGGUGACAUUUUUCAAAAGCUCCAACGCUCAAGCUUGACCAACGAGUAUGCAAAGCCAACAAAGCCUGUGCACAAAGAAACUAAGGAGAGGGUGACAUUUUUUAAGGAAAAAAAGCGUCACUCGUUCCUUUAUGCUACAACUUUGUUGACCAUUCAAGUAAAAUCACUCAAACACAAAAAUGACUAAACAAAAGCAAUCUGCUAAAGUACGACCAACAAAGGUAACCAGCUUCGAGAGGGUAAGUUCCGACCGAGCAUUGAAUAUUUACAACCUGGCUGACAAAAGCAACCAACAUUUACAAUCAACUCUCAAAAGUCUCUAAAACCACAAGACAGAGUUCCCAAUCAGCUUAAAAUCACUCAAACACAAAAAUGACUAAACAAAAGCAAUCUGCUAAAGUACGACCAACAAAGGUAACCAGCUUCGAGAGGGUAAGUUCCGACCAAGCAUUGAAUAUUUACAACCUGGCUGACAAAAGCAGCCAACAUUUACAAUCAACUCUCAAAAGUCUCUAAAACCACAAGAUAGAGUUCCCAAUCAGCUUCAGAAAUCAUUGUUCUUCUCCUGCACCAUCAUCA